rnacentral:rRNA from 1 species
AUUUAAAAUUCUUAGGUAGUAGAAUAAAUUCAAACCCAUUAAAUUUGGCGGUUGUUAUAAUCUAGAGAAACUUGCUUUUUAAUCGACAACACCCGAUAAUUUUAACUUUUUUUAAAAGCCGAUAUACCUCCGUUUAAGAGCCGCAACAAUACUACACUCUUAAUCAACACUUUAAUAAAAUCAGGUCAAGGUGUAGCCUAUAAAAAAGAUAAAGUGAGUUACUUAUAAAAUAAAUUUUAGGAACUUAUACCAAAAAACAAAUAAAAAAGAAUCUAAAAACACAAUCUAAUUAAAAUUUAGGCUAUAAAAACACCAUAACAAUGU